AAACUAACAAGGAUUCCCCUAGUAACGGCGAGUGAACCGGGAAGAGCUCAAAUUUGAAAUCUGGCGUCCUUCGGGCGUCCGAGUUGUAAUCUAUAGAAACGUUUUCCGUGCCGGACCGUGUCCAAGUCCCUUGGAACAGGGUAUCAGAGAGGGUGACAAUCCCGUACUUGACACGACAACCGGUGCUCUGUGAUACGUUCUCUACGAGUCGAGUUGUUUGGGAAUGCAGCUCAAAAUGGGUGGUAAACUCCAUCUAAAGCUAAAUAUUGGUGGGAGACCGAUAGCGAACAAGUACCGUGAGGGAAAGAUGAAAAGCACUUUGGAAAGAGAGUUAAACAGUAUGUGAAAUUGUUGAAAGGGAAACGAUUGAAGUCAGUCGUGACCGUUGGGUUCAGCCGGUUCUGCCGGUCUACUCCCUUCGGUCGGGUCAACAUCGGUUUUGACCGGCGGAUAAGGAAGGGAGGAAUGUGGCACCCUCCGGGGUGUGUUAUAGCCUCCCGUCGCAUACGUCGGUCGAGACCGAGGAACGCAGCUCGCCUUUAUGGCCGGGGUUCGCCCACGUCCGAGCUUAGGAUGUUGACAUAAUGGCUUUAAACGAC
rnacentral:rRNA from 1 species